UGAGGAAUAUUGGUCAAUGGGGCAACCCUGAACCAGCCAAGUCGCGUGAAGGAUGAAGGUCUUAUGGAUUGUAAACUUCUUUUACACGGGAAUAAAGCGGGGGACGUGUCCCCCUUUGCAUGUACCGUGUGAAUAAGGAUCGGCUAACUCCGUGCCAGCAGCCGCGGUAAUACGGAGGAUCCGAGCGUUAUCCGGAUUUAUUGGGUUUAAAGGGUGCGCAGGCGGGAUGUUAAGUCGGCGGUGAAAUUUUGCAGCUCAACUGUAAAAGUGCCUUCGAUACUGGCCUCCUUGAGUGUGGAUGAAGUAGGCGGAAUUUGUGGUGUAGCGGUGAAAUGCUUAGAUAUCACGAGGAACUCCGAUUGCGCAGGCAGCUUACUAAGCCACAACUGACGCUCAUGCACGAAGGCGUGGGGAUCAAACA
rnacentral:rRNA from 1 species